UUCACAUCAGGUGGCCAAAGGAUUGGAGCUUCAGCAUCAGUCCUCCCAGUGAAUAAUCAGGGUUGAUUUAUUAUUAGUAGUAUUAUUCCUGGUUCCACAAACAUUUCUCGGAACUGAAAAAGUGUUUCGUAAUACUUCACCGCUGAAUGUGAGCCCACUUGGAGAGCCAGGGACUUUCCGAAGUGUUGGAAAGGAACAUUUCGUAUGCAAGAAGUAGGAGAAAGAAGGUGCUGCUCUGUUUUGUCCUUUCUGGUCGCAGUGAGUGACAGGGAAGAGACAAAAUGUAUCAUAUUCUAAAUGGACUUCACUGUGUUCACCUUGACCCAGCGGUCCUUGAAGGAGAUGAAGGAACCUCCAGGGGACAUUUGGCAAUGGAUGCAGCUUCCCGGGUGGCUCGAUGUUAAAGAACCCGCCUGCCAACUCAGAUCACGCCGCUGCUUCAUGAAAAUAGAACAUCUCAGAAGAUGGAAAGCCUUCGCAUGCGUUCAUUCAAAAUGUUUUCCUUUGCCUGCAGAAACAACUCCCAGCUGUGUAAAUAUUAGAUGGCCAGGACACGACUGUUUACUUAUCAUUAAGAGAGUCUUCAGGACACCAGGAAGAAGAAUGUUGCGUUUAUUUUU